AACUUUAAUUUCUUCUCAGCGGCAGAUGCCAUUGUUCUGUGGCAGACAAAUGUCUUGAAACGAGUCUCUGGGUAGCCCUGUUCUCGAACGCAGGGGCACAUCAGCUUGGCGUUCCUUCUCAGGGGGGUGGGAACCUGAGCUGGACGACUCCAUUAGCACCAAGAGACAACCACAGAGCAUGGGCCGUCAGAAUUCCGAGGAAGACACGAACAACGGAGAAGGAUGAGUGGGAGAGGCAGCGCGAAGCAAGGAAGGAGAGACAGGAAGAAGGAAAAGGCACGAGGCUUGUUGAGGAAAGCUUUAUACAACAGCUGAGUCAGUUCUCCUCCUGGUCUGGCCCACAUCCUAACCCGGAGUCUCUCCUGCCCUACUGCUGGGCCCAGGAGGUCACAGUGGGGCUGAGAGUCCAGCUGCCUGCGCUGUUCUUCCCGCCCAUGGCCCCACAGAGGACAGAGUGAUCUUUCAAAGCACAAGCCUCCGCCGGCUGCUCUCCUGCUAAAAACUCUUCAGUGGCUUCCUCAUGUCCUCAGAAGGAGAGAGAAUUGAAAAAGUGAAAUCAGAGAAAAUC
rnacentral:lncRNA from 1 species